rnacentral:rRNA from 1 species
CUUGGUCAUUUAGAGGAAGUAAAAGUCGUAACAAGGUUUCCGUAGGUGAACCUGCGGAAGGAUCAUUAUCGAACUAUAAGCGAAGGUUGUAGCUGGCCCUCCCGGGGGCAACGUGCACGCCCGAGCUCUUAAUCCACUUACACCUGUGAACUCAAUGUGGGACGUCCUUCGGGACGAUUCUCAUGUCUUUCAUAUACUCUUAUGUAUGUCACGGAAUGUCUUGUCGUUGCUUUAACGCAAUUAUAUACAACUUUCAACAACGGAUCUCUUGGCUCUCGCAUCGAUGAAGAACGCAGCGAAAUGCGAUAAGUAAUGUGAAUUGCAGAUUUUCAGUGAAUCAUCGAAUCUUUGAACGCACCUUGCGCUCCUUGGUAUUCCGAGGAGCAUGCCUGUUUGAGUGUCAUUAAAUUCUCAAACUCUGAUUGAUUUGUUUCAAUCGAGCUUUGGAUUUGGAGCGUGCCGGCGUCAGUCGGCUCCUCUUGAAUGCAUCAGCGGAAUCCCAUUCAUUUCGGACGUCAGUGUGAUAAUCAUGUUGUGCUGUCUUUACGAUCUUGAAAGCCCGCUCACAAUGGUCUUCGGACAAACCUCACUAUCAUAUUUGACCUCAAAUCAGGUAGGACUACCCGCUGAACUUAAGCAUAUCAAUAAGCGGAGGA